rnacentral:rRNA from 1 species
GAUGAACGCUGGCGGCGUGCUUAACACAUGCAAGUCGAACGGGAAACCUUUUAUUGAAGCUUCGGCAGAUUUAACUGGUUUCUAGUGGCGGACGGGUGAGUAACGCGUGGGUAACCUGCCUUGUACAGGGGGAUAACAGUCAGAAAUGACUGCUAAUACCGCAUAAGCGCACAGGACCGCAUGGUCCGGUGUGAAAAACUCCGGUGGUAUAAGAUGGACCCGCGUUGGAUUAGCUAGUUGGCAGGGUAACGGCCUACCAAGGCGACGAUCCAUAGCCGGCCUGAGAGGGUGAACGGCCACAUUGGGACUGAGACACGGCCCAGACUCCUACGGGAGGCAGCAGUGGGGAAUAUUGCACAAUGGGGGAAACCCUGAUGCAGCGACGCCGCGUGAAGGAAGAAGUAUCUCGGUAUGUAAACUUCUAUCAGCAGGGAAGAAAAUGACGGUACCUGACUAAGAAGCCCCGGCUA